UACGUAGGUGGCAAGCGUUGUUCGGAAUUAUUGGGCGUAAAGGGCGCGUAGGCGGUUUGCUAAGUCAGUUGUGAAAGCCCGGAGCUCAACCCCGGAGGGUCGGCUGAUACUGGUGGACUAGAGUACGGAAGAGGUAGCUGGAAUUCCCGGUGUAGCGGUGAAAUGCGCAGAUAUCGGGAGGAACACCCGUAGCGAAGGCGGCACUCUGGGCCGGAACUGACGCUGAGGAGCGAAAGCGUGGGGAGCAAACAGG
rnacentral:rRNA from 1 species